UUAAAAUUGAUGAAAAUGUUUUGUGAAAUUGCACGAGCAACAAAUUUUUGAAACUAAAUUCCUUUUAUGUCAAUUUGUUGAUUUUGAAUGUUAGAUUUUGGAAUAGUUAGACGCAAUUCAUUCGGAGACACUACUACAUGUAUUGUAAAUUCAAAGUGUUGUGGCUUGUAGUAUAUUAUCAAUACUAGUAUAUCUUCAUAUAGUGAUAUAGUGUUCGGUUUUGACGUACUGAUAAUAAGAGGACUAAUUGUAAGAGCAGCCUAAUGAGAUGCCGAAUAGAAUUUGUACUGUCUCGCGGAUUCUAUAGGGUUAAUCUGGUUAAUGAACAAUAGGAAAAAGAAUUCUAGUCCUAUCUCAUUGGAUAUUUAAUUGACUUUGAUUAACGUGAUGCGAAGCACUUCCAAUAAUGUGAUAAAAAAAUGUUUCGAAUACAAGUCAAUCAGCUUCCAAUAGGCUGAAAAUUAGUACAAAGAUAAGAAAUUUCCCAAAAGGGAUAAAAAGUCAAAGUCACCUUGACUUUUUUAAAUGAGACACACUAUAUUUUCAAUUUCAUACUAUUGUAGCUGAUAUUAAGACAAAUUCAACAACCUAUUAUAAGAGUUCCUUUAGAUUUCACACAACUAUUUAUAUUUAAUUUAA